rnacentral:rRNA from 1 species
GGAGGAAAAGAAACUAACAAGGAUUCCCCUAGUAGCGGCGAGCGAAGCGGGAAGAGCUCAAAUUUAUAAUCUGGCGCUUUCGGCGUCCGAGUUGUAAUCUCUAGAAGUGUUUUCCGCGUUGGACCGCACAUAAGUCUGUUGGAAUACAGCGGCACAGUGGUGAGACCCCCGUUCACGGUGCGGAUGCCCAAUGCUUUGUGAUACACUUUCGAAGAGUCGAGUUGUUUGGGAAUGCAGCUCAAAUUGGGUGGUAAAUUCCAUCUAAAGCUAAAUAUUGGCGAGAGACCGAUAGCGAACAAGUACCGUGAGGGAAAGAUGAAAAGCACUUUGGAAAGAGAGUUAACAGUACGUGAAAUUGUUGGAAGGGAAACGCUUGAAGUCAGACUUGCUAUUCGGGGCUUGCUCCGAGUUGCAGGCCAGCAUCAGUUUUUCGGGGCGGAAAAUCACGGAUUGAAGGUAGCAGUUUCGGCUGUGUUAUAGCUUUCCGUUGGAUACGUCCUGGGGGACUGAGGAACGCAGUGUGCUUUUAGCGAGGGCUUCGGCUCUUUCACACUUAGGAUGCUGGUGGAAUGGCUUUAAACGACCCGUCUUG